GGGCGGAUAGCUCAGUUGGCAGAGCGCCACCUUUACACGGUGGAUGUCACAGGUUCGAUCCCUGUUCCGCCUACCA
rnacentral:tRNA from 3 species